GGAUAGCUCAGCUGGUUAGAGCAUGGUGCUGAUGAUGUCAAGAUUGCAGGUUCGAUCCCUGUAUGGGGCAGCA